rnacentral:lncRNA from 1 species
AGCAGUCUCUGGGGGGACCCAUGCCCGCAGCAUUUCUGGAUGCUAAAGGUGGCUUUAAGGAAGGCCCAGCUGAGUGCCUCGUGGAUUCCUGCAGCCUGGAUGCCUGCGGGGGACAGAAGACCGAUGCUUCCUGCCCUCAUCACCCAGGAAUGUCGGGAGGGGGCUCCGCCAAUUCCCUGAAGGGCUCCCAGUGAAACCUUCCUGUGAUGGCUGUGGUGUAAUCUGAAAAAAAGCAGAUCCGUUCAGAACUCCAGAAGGACUUGAAAACUGUCCUGCCCCGAACGAAAGCUGGAAUAUCGUGGGCUUUGAUGAACCAAGGAAAAGUGCCUUCAUCAGGACGCAGCAGUAAGCCUGCUGACUACUUAAGCCCUGCCUAGGUUCCUAGGAAAUGGGCAGGAAAAGUGCCUGCCACCUGCUGCUUGCUGGUGUGCUGUUUUGGCAGCAGGAGCUGUGGGAACACACAGGGGCAGGAGAACAAACACAUUACACACGAGGACUUCCAUCCUCCAGCCAGCAAGGUGCCGACACCUCACACUUGACACCUGCUGAGCGCCCUACUGUGUGCCCUGCCCCCCUGAACGAGGCAGCCUCGGAGCUUGGAUCCUAGUUGGAGAGACAGGCAAUUAGCAGGAUGGCAGAUCCACAUCCAGGUCCUGUGGCUAUAGAAGUGAGCACUCAGACCAGGAAAUGUCCCCACAUUCCUGGAAUUCAUGUCCUGGCGGGAGAGAGAAAACAUAAAAUAACUGUAUUCAGUACGGAAUACCAGUAUCCCCAUCUUGCAGACAGGUAACUGGGGCACGGAAUAAAUGAUUGAGCAUUGUUCUGCCCCAAGCAGCCUGCAAAGUGGCACAUAGAACCCAUAUCGUCUUCCCAACAGCUCCAUGAAGUGGGUCCCAGUAUCCUUCCUCUGAUACCCGUCAUCCACGAGAGAUAACUGAGAUAUCAACAGAUGACGUCAUGCCCUCAGGGUCAAGCAGUGAAUGGAGCUGGGAUGGGAACCCAUGGCGGCUUGUGUUACACACCUACUGCACGCCUCGCUUGACUUCAUACCACAGAUCUGUCUCCUCUACCAGAUGUUUACAGGCAAUAAGAGACUUGGGGAACGUCUGGGGUCCUAAGAGUAACCAAGACAUCUGAAGUGUAUAGAUCUGAAGUUCUUCUUUUUAUAAAAAUAAGAGUACUCAUUAAUUUUGUGUCUCCUACAUGCAAGGACUUCACCCAGCCGAUGUCAAAGUCUAACAGCUUCUCUCCUGUAUGGGAGCCAUUCCACCUGUUUGACCACAGAGGAAAUGGAGGCUUUGGGAGGCUCAAUCACUUGCCAAGUGCUCCUAAGCUACUCGGUGGGGAGCAGGGCUUCAAAUGGGGGUCUAUGCAGUACCUGAGCCGGUGUGAGCUCCACUAUGAGACUUCCCCCUGGUUUUCAAGUCUACACACAUUGCCCCCAUUUAAUAGGAAAAACUACACGGCAAAAAUCUCUAGGAAGAUAAAAUAACAUCUAGGAAGGUCAAAGCUUUGAUGACAACCCAAACAGCCAUACUCAGUGUUUAUGGUCAAGACUACUGCUUAGAGUGUCAUUCUUUCUCUCUCUCUCUUUUUUUGUCUUCUAGGGCCAUGCCUGUGGCAUAUGGGGCACAGCAAACAAAUCCCAGCCUAGGGGUUUAAUUGGAGCUGUAGCCACCGGCCUACGCCAGAGCCACAGCAACUCCGGAGCCGAGCCGUAUCUGUGACCUAUACCACAGUUCAGGGCAAUGCCGGAUCCUUAACCCACUUGAGUGAGGCCAGGGAUCGAACCUGAAACCUUAUGGUUCCUAGUUGGAUUCGUUAACCUCUGGGCCACCAUGGGAACUCUUUGUUUCUUUGUUUCUUUCUUUGUUUGUUUCUUUCUUUCUUUGGUCUCACUCAGGGCAUAUGGAAAUUCCUAGGCUAGGGGUUGAAUCAGAGCUGUAGCUGUUGGCCUACAACACAGCCACAGCAAUGCCAGAUCCUUUAACCCACUGAGCAAGGCCAGGGAUUGAACCUGCCUCCUCAUGGAUACUAGUCUGGCUCAUUACUGCUAAGCGAUGAUGGGAACUCCUAGAAUAUCAUUCUUGAAGGGCUGGUUUCAAGUAUAUGUAGUCAGCGAUGUCAUACAGGACCCCCCUGUUUGGUGUAAUGUUCUGCUGUUGCCCUCUUGAAAUUCUCAAUAAUUUUAUCUUUGAUCUUGAGUUUUAUAAGUGAAGUCUGGAGGGCUAUGGAACAUGUAAGUGAUCAGGGGAAACAGGCACAGUAUCCUCUCUGUGGACUCUUGCCACCCCAUUCGCACAUCAUGUUUGCUGUGCCCCAUGAUUCUGGUGGACCCUCCAUGCAUGGGUGUUUCCAUGAUUCUGGUGGACCCAGCAUGCAUGGGACUUUCCAGCACCAGGUGUGUGUGUUAUGGAAGCUGCCACUGCCAUUGACUGUUGGCAUAAUGUGUGUAUUUGAGGAGGGGAAAUAAACAUGAUUGAGUUCAUU